rnacentral:rRNA from 1 species
AUGAACGCUAGCUACAGGCUUAACACAUGCAAGUCGAGGGGCAGCGGGAUUGAAGCUUGCUUCAAUUGCCGGCGACCGGCGCACGGGUGAGUAACGCGUAUCCAACCUUCCGCUUACUCGGGGAUAGCCUUUCGAAAGAAAGAUUAAUACCCGAUGGUAUCUUAAGCACGCAUGAGAUUAAGAUUAAAGAUUUAUCGGUAAGCGAUGGGGAUGCGUUCCAUUAGGCAGUUGGCGGGGUAACGGCCCACCAAACCUACGAUGGAUAGGGGUUCUGAGAGGAAGGUCCCCCACAUUGGAACUGAGACACGGUCCAAACUCCUACGGGAGGCAGCAGUGAGGAAUAUUGGUCAAUGGGCGAGAGCCUGAACCAGCCAAGUAGCGUGAAGGAUGACGGCCCUACGGGUUGUAAACUUCUUUUGUGCGGGAAUAAAGGAACCUACGUGUAGGUUUUUGCAUGUACCGUAACGAAUAAGCAUCGGCUAACUCCGUGCCAGCAGCCGCGGUAAUACGGAGGAUGCGAGCGUUAUCCGGAUUUAUUGGGUUUAAAGGGAGCGUAGACGGGUUUUUAAGUCAGCUGUGAAAGUUUGGGGCUCAACCUUAAAAUUGCAGUUGAAACUGGAGACCUUGAGUACGGUUGAGGCAGGCGGAAUUCGUGGUGUAGCGGUGAAAUGCUUAGAUAUCACGAAGAACCCCGAUUGCGAAGGCAGCCUGCUAAGCCGCCACUGACGUUGAGGCUCGAAAGUGCGGGUAUCAAACAGGAUUAGAUACCCUGGUAGUCCACGCUGUAAACGAUGAUUACUAGGUGUGGGGGGUCUGACCCCUUCCGUGCCGCAGCAAACGCAAUAAGUAAUCCACCUGGGGAGUACGACCGCAAGGUUGAAACUCAAAGGAAUUGACGGGGGCCCGCACAAGCAGUGGAGUAUGUGGUUUAAUUCGAAGCAACGCGAAGAACCUUACCAGGUCUUGACAUCCGAUGCAUAGCGCAGAGAUGCGUGAAGUCCUUCGGGACAUCGAGACAGGUGGUGCAUGGUUGUCGUCAGCUCGUGCCGUGAGGUGUCGGCUUAAGUGCCAUAACGAGCGCAACCCUUGCUGCCAGUUACUAACAGGUCAUGCUGAGGACUCUGGCAGGACUGCCAUCGUAAGAUGCGAGGAAGGUGGGGAUGACGUCAAAUCAGCACGGCCCUUACGUCCGGGGCUACACACGUGUUACAAUGGGGAGUACAGAGGGCAGCUACCGGGCGACCGGAUGCGAAUCCCGAAAGCUCCUCUCAGUUCGGACUGGAGUCUGCAACCCGACUCCACGAAGCUGGAUUCGCUAGUAAUCGCGCAUCAGCCACGGCGCGGUGAAUACGUUCCCGGGCCUUGUACACACCGCCCGUCAAGCCAUGAAAGCCGGGGGUACCUGAAGUACGUAACCGCGAGGAUCGUCCUAGGGUAAAACCGGUAAUUGGGGCU